rnacentral:tRNA from 1 species
GGGCCGUUAGCUCAGCUGGUAGAGCAAUCGCCUCUUAAGCGAUCGGUCAGAGGUUCGAAUCCUCUACGGCCCACCA